rnacentral:misc_RNA from 1 species
GAAAUGCGAUAAGUAAUGUGAAUUGCAGAAUUCCGUGAAUCAUCGAAUCUUUGAACGCACAUUGCGCCCUCUGGUAUUCCGGGGGGCAUGCCUGUCCGAGCGUCAUUGCGAACCCCUCAAGCGCGGCUUGUGUGAUGGGCCCUCCCGCGUCUUGGUCGUCAAGACGGGCCCGAAAUGCAGUGGCGGCUUCGCGGUUAUCCGAUCAGCCAGAGCGUAUGGGGACUUUCUCUCUGUCACACGCCCGCGGCGCGGACCGACGCCUGUCGACCUUCAUUCAUCGUUUUCUCGGUUGACCUCGGAUCAGGUAGGGAUACCCGCUGAACUUAAGC